UCUCUACGUUAAACAUUUGAGAAGUGACUAUUAUGCUCUUAAUGAACCCCUCUUAUAUUUAUGCACAAUUCUCAAAUCAAAUUCCCACCUAAACCUAAUCCCUUAUCUCUCUAACAAUUAUUUCUUUCCCAUCUUCACCAAUUUCUACCCAAUUCUUAAAUGCAAAUGGAAUCUCAAAUUUUUUUCUUUUUGUCAUUGUGGAAAAAGAGCUAUAAUGAAGAUUUCUUAGUCACUAAACAACCCAAGUCGUUGGUUUCUUGGAUGUGAAGAUGGUCGGAGUACCAAGUUAGAUCUACCUCUACCCCUCAUGGCUGAUCAUCGAGGUUGUUGCCGAGUCUAUCCAGGGUGAGCAUGAGGACGUUCGCUGCCCGAAGACUCUUCCUAUUACUUAUGUCUUGCUUUCCAUUUUGAGACAUGAUUUUGAGACUACUUAUGUACUAUUAUUCAGACUUGUAAUAUUUGGUUUAGAUGCUUUUAUAUGACCAGACCAGAUACUGGGUGGAUUUCAUUUAGUUCAGCACUUAAUAUCUGUGAGACUUACGUUAUUUUA